GAUGAAGAACGUAGCGAAAUGCGAUAAGUAGUGUGAAUUGCAGAAUUCAGUGAAUCAUCGAAUCUUUGAACGCACAUUGCGCCCCUUGGUAUUCCAUGGGGCAUGCCUGUUCGAGCAUCAUUUGUACCUUCAGGCUCUGCUUGGUGUUGGGUGUUUGUCUCGCCUCUGCGUGUAGACUCGCCUCAAAACAAUUGGCAGCCGGCGUAUUGAUUUCGGAGCGCAGUACAUCUCGCGCUUUGCACUCAUAACGACGACGUCCAAAAGUACAUUUUACACUCUUGACCUCGGAUCAGGUAGGGAUACCCGCUGAACUUAAGCAUAUCAAUAAGCGGAGGA
rnacentral:misc_RNA from 1 species